rnacentral:rRNA from 1 species
GACGAACGCUGGCGGCGUGCUUAACACAUGCAAGUCGAGCGGUAAGGCCCUUUCGGGGGUACACGAGCGGCGAACGGGUGAGUAACACGUGGGUGACCUGCCCUCAGCUCUGGGAUAAGCCUGGGAAACUGGGUCUAAUACUGGAUAUGACUCCACGGUGCAUGUCGUGGGGUGGAAAGCCUUGUGCGGCUGAGGAUGGGCCCGCGGCCUAUCAGCUUGUUGGUGGGGNGAUGGCCUACCAAGGCGACGACGGGUAGCCGGCCUGAGAGGGCGACCGGCCACACUGGGGCUGAGACACGGCCCAGACUCCUACGGGAGGCAGCAGUGGGGAAUCUUGCGCAAUGGGCGAAAGCCUGACGCAGCGACGCCGCGUGAGGGAUGA